rnacentral:rRNA from 1 species
CCCAGACAGCCAGGAUGUUGGCUUAGAAGCAGCCAUCAUUUAAAGAAAGCGUAAUAGCUCACUGGUCGAGUCGGCCUGCGCGGAAGAUGUAACGGGGCUAAACCAUGCACCGAAGCUGCGGCAGCGACGCUGUGCGUUGUUGGGUAGGGGAGCGUUCUGUAAGCCUGUGAAGGUGGCCUGUGAGGGUUGCUGGAGGUAUCAGAAGUGCGAAUGCUGACAUAAGUAACGAUAAAGCGGGUGAAAAGCCCGCUCGCCGGAAGACCAAGGGUUCCUGUCCAACGUUAAUCGGGGCAGGGUGAGUCGACCCCUAAGGCGAGGCCGAAAGGCGUAGUCGAUGGGAAACGGGUUAAUAUUCCUGUACUUGGUGUUACUGCGAAGGGGGGACGGAGAAGGCUAUGUUGGCCGGGCGACGGUUGUCCCGGUUUAAGCGUGUAGGCUGGUUUUCCAGGCAAAUCCGGAAAAUCAAGGCUGAGGCGUGAUGACGAGGCACUACGGUGCUGAAGCAACAAAUGCCCUGCUUCCAGGAAAAGCCUCUAAGCAUCAGGUAACAUCAAAUCGUACCCCAAACCGACACAGGUGGUCAGGUAGAGAAUACCAAGGCGCUUGA